UACGGGGGGGGCAAGCGUUGUUCGGAGUUACUGGGCGUAAAGGGCUCGUAGGCGGCCAACUAAGUCGGACGUGAAAUCCCUCAGCUUAACUGGGGAACUGCGUCCGAUACUGGAUGGCUUGGAUUUGGGAGAGGGAUGCGGAAUUCCAGGUGUAGCGGUGAAAUGCGUAGAUAUCGAGAGGAACACCAGUGGCGAAGGCGGCUCACUGGGCACCACCUGACGCUGAGGCGCGAAAGCGUGGGGAGCGAACCGG
rnacentral:rRNA from 1 species